AAGCUCGUAGUUGAAUUUCGGGGUUCUACCGUUGGUCGGGCUAACCAGUCUAUACUAGCGUGUAGAAUUCUUACCUUCUGGGGAACCAUCAUGUUAUUAAUUUAGCGUGGUAGGAAACCAGGACCUUUACCUUGAAAAAAUUAGAGUGUUCAAAGCAGGCUUACGUCUGAAUACAUUAGCAUGGAAUAAUAAAAUAGGACGGUGGUCCUGUUUUGUUGGUUUCUGAAUCACCGUAAUGAUUAAUAGGGAUAGUUGGG
rnacentral:rRNA from 1 species